rnacentral:tRNA from 1 species
UAGGAGAUAAUAUAAAGGAAGUAUGAAGGGCUUUGAUCCCUUUUGUGUAGGUUCGAUCCCUACUCCCCUAA